GAUGAAGAACGCAGCGAAAUGCGAUAAGUAAUGUGAAUUGCAGAAUUCAGUGAAUCAUCGAAUCUUUGAACGCACAUUGCGCCCGCCAGCAUUCUGGCGGGCAUGCCUGUUCGAGCGUCAUUUCAACCCUCGAGCCCCCCCGGGGGCCUCGGUGUUGGGGGACGGCACACCAGCCGCCCCCGAAAUGCAGUGGCGACCCCGCCGCAGCCUCCCCUGCGUAGUAGCACACACCUCGCACCGGAGCGCGGAGGCGGUCACGCCGUAAAACGCCCAACUUUCUUAGAGUUGACCUCGGAUCAGGUAGGAAUACCCGCUGAACUUAAGCAUAUCAAUAGCGGAGA
rnacentral:misc_RNA from 1 species